rnacentral:rRNA from 1 species
UGCAGUCGAACGCUUCUUUUUCCACCGGAGCUUGCUCCACCGGAAAAAGAGGAGUGGCGAACGGGUGAGUAACACGUGGGUAACCUGCCCAUCAGAAGGGGAUAACACUUGGAAACAGGUGCUAAUACCGUAUAACAAUCAAAACCGCAUGGUUUUGAUUUGAAAGGCGCUUUCGGGUGUCGCUGAUGGAUGGACCCGCGGUGCAUUAGCUAGUUGGUGAGGUAACGGCUCACCAAGGCCACGAUGCAUAGCCGACCUGAGAGGGUGAUCGGCCACAUUGGGACUGAGACACGGCCCAAACUCCUACGGGAGGCAGCAGUAGGGAAUCUUCGGCAAUGGACGAAAGUCUGACCGAGCAACGCCGCGUGAGUGAAGAAGGUUUUCGGAUCGUAAAACUCUGUUGUUAGAGAAGAACAAGGAUGAGAGUAACUGUUCAUCCCUUGACGGUAUCUAACCAGAAAGCCACGGCUAACUACGUGCCAGCAGCCGCGGUAAUACGUAGGUGGCAAGCGUUGUCCGGAUUUAUUGGGCGUAAAGCGAGCGCAGGCGGUUUCUUAAGUCUGAUGUGAAAGCCCCCGGCUCAACCGGGGAGGGUCAUUGGAAACUGGGAGACUUGAGUGCAGAAGAGGAGAGUGGAAUUCCAUGUGUAGCGGUGAAAUGCGUAGAUAUAUGGAGGAACACCAGUGGCGAAGGCGGCUCUCUGGUCUGUAACUGACGCUGAGGCUCGAAAGCGUGGGGAGCAAACAGGAUUAGAUACCCUGGUAGUCCACGCCGUAAACGAUGAGUGCUAAGUGUUGGAGGGUUUCCGCCCUUCAGUGCUGCAGCUAACGCAUUAAGCACUCCGCCUGGGGAGUACGACCGCAAGGUUGAACUCAG